ACGAACGCUGGCGGCGUGCUUAACACAUGCCAGUCGAACGGAAAGGCCCUGCUUUUGUGGGGUGCUCGAGUGGCGAACGGGUGAGUAACACGUGAGUAACCUGCCCUUGACUUUGGGAUAACUUCAGGAAACUGGGGCUAAUACCGGAUAGGAGCUCCUGCUGCAUGGUGGGGGUUGGAAAGUUUCGGCGGUUGGGGAUGGACUCGCGGCUUAUCAGCUUGUUGGUAGGGUAGUGGCUUACCAAGGCUUUGACGGGUAGCCGGCCUGAGAGGGUGACCGGCCACAUUGGGACUGAGAUACGGCCCAGACUCCUACGGGAGGCAGCAGUGGGGAAUAUUGCACAAUGGGCGGAAGCCUGAUGCAGCAACGCCGCGUGCGGGAUGACGGCCUUCGGGUUGUAAACCGCUUUCGCCUGUGACGAAGCGUGAGUGACGGUAAUGGGUAAAGAAGCACCGGCUAACUACGUG
rnacentral:rRNA from 1 species